CCUUCCCUUUGUGGUAUGGAACCUUGCAGUACAAUUUCAGAGAGAUCCAUACACGUGAACACAAGUUAUGGUCUGGAAACUAGAAAAAUGCUUGUUUUUUGGCCCCAAAUUCCUAAACGUUUAAGGCAAUUACCCCCAAACUCAAACCCGGCUUUCCCUUUGUGAUAUGGAACUUUGUAGUACAAUUCCAUAAAGAUCUAUACACUUACACACAAGUUAUUGUCCUGAAACUAGAAAAAUGCUUGUUUUUUGCCCCUUUUUGGUCCCCAAUUCCUAAAAUUUUGGGGCAAUUACCACCAAAAUCAAUCCCAGCCUUCCCUUUGUGGUAUGGUACCUUGCAGUACAAUUUCAGAGAGAUCCAUACACUUGAACACAAGUUAUUGUCUGGAAACUAGAAAAAUGCUUGUUUUUUUGGCCCCUUAUUCCUAAACAUUUAGGGCAAUUACCCCCAAACUCAAACUCGGCUUUCCCUUUGUGAUAUGAAACCUUGUAGUACAAUUUAUAAAGAUCCAUACACUUACACACAAGUAAUGGUCCUGAAAUUAGAAAAAUGCUUGUUUUUUUUCCCCCUUUUUGGCCCCCCAAUUCCUAAAAUUUUGAAGCAAUUACCCCCAAAAUCAAUCCGAGCCUUCCCUUUAUGGUAUGGUACUUUGCAGUACAAUUUCAGAGAGAUCCAAACACUUAAACAAAAGUUAUUGUCUGGAAACUAUAAAAAUGCUUGUUUUAGGCCCUUUUUGGCCCCUUAUUCCUAAACGUUUUGGGCAAUUACCCCCAAACUCAAUUCCAGCUUUCCCUUAGUGAUAUGGAACCUUGUAGUACAAUUUCAGAAAGAUCCAUACACUUACACUCAAGUUAUUGUCAUGAAACUAGAAAAAUGCUUGUUUUUUGCCCCUUUUUUGGCCCCUAAUUCAUAAAGUUUUGAGGCAAUUACCCCCAAAAUCAAUCCCAGCAUUCCCUUUGUGAUAUGGAACCUUGUGGUACAAUGUCAGAGAGAUCCAUAAAUUAACACACAAGUUAUGUCGAAGUUACAAAAAUGCUUAUUUUUGGCCCCUUAUUCCUUAACUGUUGGUUCCAUAACCCCCAAAAUCAAUCCCAACCUUCCUUUUGUGGUAUUGAACCUUAUGGUAAAAUUUCAUAGAGAUCCAUUCUCUUAAACUAAAGUUGGAGUGCGAAAACCAUUGUGUAUAAGUUUCAUAACAUUUGGUUGAGGCAAACUUAGAGAACGGAAACCAAUUUUGGGAUGUACGGAAGGAUGGACGUACGUACAGACGGACAAGGGUCAAACUUAAUGCCCCCAUCGCUACGGCGGGGGCAUAAAAAAUGUCUGAAUACGUCUUUGGACUAGUAGUUGGAAAAAAUUUUGGUGUAAACUGCCUCAGUAUGUUAGGCAUGGAUUGAAAUUGAUCGACUAGUAUAAAUAUCCCCUUGUUGAAGUACUGCAGUUGACAAUAAUUUAGGAAUAAGUAAAUACCAUUUGUACAAUAUACCAACCAGUUUAACAUUCUUCUUUCUACCAAGAGGUUUAGCAUAGUGUGCUUCAUACCACUGCCUGAAUGGUGUGGCAUCGAUAGAGA